GCACCAUGCAUAAAACUUAGGCUAAAUUACAGAAAAAUCUUUCUGUAAAUGUCUGUUUUUUUAUUUUUCUUUUCUUACUUUUAAAACCUACAUUUUGCUCCUUUAAAUUUUUAGAAAUAUUUUCUCAGAGGGUAUUGCGUUAUUGAAGAGGACAAAAUAACUAAAUGACUUUUAUUUUUUCUAUUAGAAAAAAAUAAAUUUUUAAUAAAUUUUUAUUAUUUUGAAGAGUAUUUUCGGUAUAAAUUAUAAGAAAUGAACGGAAUAGUAAUGAAAUCCUGACGGAGGAGGGCUAAAUACAACAAUUUGAAAUAUUGAGGAGGUAAAAUAUAAAUUUUUAAAAGUUAGGGAGAAAAAGUAAAAAAUGGAGUAUUUAUAAGAGGAUUUUUUAUAAUUUAGCCUAAAAUUUAUCUAAACUAUAGCCUGUGUAUGAUUUAAAAGGUUUAAUA
rnacentral:lncRNA from 1 species